UCGUCAGUGAGGUAGUUCCUUACCUGUUACUCCAGCAAUGGAGUUUCAGAACAUGAUGAAUGGAGAAAGAUGAGAUGAUGAUUAAUAUCUCACAAUUGAUGAGGAAUGCAACACCCUCGUUAAUUCCAUUCUGAU
ensembl:snoRNA U8 U8 small nucleolar RNA